rnacentral:rRNA from 1 species
GGGAAACAGCCCAGAUCACCAGUUAAGGCCCUAAAUAAUUACUAAGUUGUAAAGGAUGUAUUGGUACUUUGACAACCAGGAGGUUUUCUUAGAAGCAGAAAUCCUUUAAAAAGUGCGUAAUAGCUUACUGGUCAAGUGCCUUUGCGCCGAAAAUGAAUGGGACUAAGUAAUUUGCCGAAGCUGUGGGAAUUUUCGGUAGAAGAGCGUUCUGUUUUGGUUAGAAGUAGUAGUGAAAACAACUAUGGACUAUUCAGAAGUGAGAAUGUCGGCUUAAGUAACGAAAACAUUGGUGGAAAUCCAAUGCUCCGAAAACCUAAGGAUUCCUCCGGAAGGUUCGUCCACGGAGGGUUAGUCAGGAUCUAAAACGAGGUCUAAAGACGUAGUUGAUGAAAAACAGGUUAAUAUUCCUGUACUGCAGUUUGUUUAAUUAUAAGGGACGGAGAAGGCUAGAUCAGCCAGAGUUUGGUAGUUCUGGUUUAAACUUUCAAGGUGUUGAGAAACAGAAAAAAAGAUGUUUUGAGCUGAGAAGUGAAUACAAAGUGCUAAGGUACUGUAAGUGAUUAAUGUCAAGCUUCCAAGAAAAUCUUUCGUAAUGUUAUAACAAACUGUACCUGUACCUUAAACUGACACAGGUAGGUUAGUAGAGAAUACUAAGGAGCGCGAGAUAACUCUUUCUAAGGAACUCGGCAAAAUAACCCUGUAACUUCGGGAGAAAGGGUGCCCCACUUAAAUGGGGUCGCAGUGAUCAGACCCAGGCGACUGUUUACCAAAAACACAGGUCUCCGCUAAGUCGAAAGACAAUGUAUGGGGGCUGACGCCUGCCCAGUGCCGGAAGGUUAAAGAAAUUGGUUAGCGUAAGCGAAGCUGGUGACUGAAGCCCUGGUGAACGGCGGCCGUAACUAUAACGGUCCUAAGGUAGCGAAAUUCCUUGUCGGGUAAGUUCCGACCCGCACGAAAGGCGUAACGAUCUGGGUACUGUCUCAGAAAGAGACUCGGUGAAAUAGAAUUGACUGUGAAGAUGCGGUCUACUUGCACUUGGACAGAAAGACCCUAUGAAGCUUUACUGUAACUUGAAAUUGGUUUUGGGCUUUUCUUGCGCAGAAUAGGUGGGAGGCGUUGAUUCUCUUUUUCGGAAGAUGAUGAGCCAUAAGUGAGAUACCACUCUGGAAAAGUUAGAAAUCUAAUUGCAUUUCUUUUAUCAAGAUGCUUGACAGUUUCAGGCGGGCAGUUUUACUGGGGCGGUAGCCUCCUAAAAGGUAACGGAGGCGUACAAAGGUUUUCUCAAUCUGGACGGAAAUUAGUUGCAGAGUGUAAAGGCAUAAGAAAGCUUAACUGUUAGACUUACAAGUCGAUCAGGGACGAAAGUCGGUCUUAGUGAUCCGACGGUUCUGUGUGGAAAGGCCGUCGCUCAACGGAUAAAAGUUACUCUAGGGAUAACAGGCUGAUCUCCCCCAAGAGUUCACAUCGACGGGGAGGUUUGGCACCUCGAUGUCGGCUCAUCGCAACCUGGGGCGGUAGUACGUUCCAAGGGUUGGGCUGUUCGCCCAUUAAAGCGGUACGUGAGCUGGGUUCAGAACGUCGAGAGACAGUUCGGUCCAUAUCCGGUGUAAGCGUUAGAGUAUUGAAAGGAUCUUUCUCUAGUACGAGAGGACCGAGAAGGACACACCACUGAUGUACCAGUUCUUGUGCCAAUGGGAUACGCUGGGUAGUCAUGUGUGGAGUGGAUAACUGC